UACGGGGGGGGCAAGCGUUGUUCGGAAUUACUGGGCGUAAAGGGCUCGUAGGUGGCCAACUAAGUCGAACGUGAAAUCCCUGGGCUCAACCCAGGAACUGCGUCCGAUACUGGUUGGCUUGAAUCCGGGAGAGGGAUGUGGAAUUCCAGGUGUAGCGGUGAAAUGCGUAGAUAUCUGGAGGAACACCGGUGGCGAAGGCGGCGUUCUGGACUGCAACUGACACUGAGGAACGAAAGCCAGGGGAGCAAACGGG
rnacentral:rRNA from 1 species